UAGGGAAUAUUGCACAAUGGGCGAAAGCCUGAUGCAGCAACGCCGCGUGCGCGAAGAAGGCCUUCGGGUUGUAAAGCGCUUUUCUGGGAGAUGAGGAAGGACAGUAUCCCAGGAAUAAGGCUCGGCUAACUACGUGCCAGCAGCCGCGGUAAAACGUAGGAGCCAAGCGUUAUCCGAAUUCACUGGGCGUAAAGCGCGUGCAGGCGGCCCGAUAAGUUGGAUGUGAAAUCUCCUGGCUCAACUGGGAGAGGCCGUUCAAUACUGUUGGGCUCGAGGGCGACAGAGGGUGGUGGAAUUCCGGGUGUAGUGGUGAAAUGCGUAGAUAUCCGGAGGAACACCAGAGGCGAAGGCGACCUCCUGGGUCGUACCUGACGCUCAGACGCGAAAGCUAGGGGAGCGAACGG
rnacentral:rRNA from 1 species